AGAGUUUGAUCAUGGCUCAGAACGUACGCUGGCGGCACGCCUUAUACAUGCAAGUCGAACGAAGUAGCAAUACUUAGUGGCAGACGGGUGAGUAACAUGUAGGUAUCUUCCCUUUGGUGAGGAAUAACACGAGGAAACUUGUGCUAAUACCUCAUAAGUCUUUACGGAGAAAGCUUUAUGCGCCGAAAGAUGAGCCUGCACUUGAUUAGUUUGUUGGUGGGGUAAUGGCCUACCAAGACUUUGAUCUAUAGCUGAUCUGAAAGGAUGAUCAGCCACAUUGGGACUGAGACACGGCCCAAACUCCUACGGGAGGCAGCAGUAGGGAAUAUUGCACAAUGGAGGAAACUCUGAUGCAGCGAUGCCGCGUGAGUGAAGAAGGCCUUUGGGUUGUAAAGCUCUUUCGUCGGGGAAGAAAAUGACUGUACCCGAAUAAGAAGGUCCGGCUAACUUCGUGCCAGCAGCCGCGGUAAUACGAAGGGACCUAGCGUAGUUCGGAAUUACUGGGCUUAAAGAGUUCGUAGGUGGUUAAAAAAGUUGGUGGUGAAAUCCCAGAGCUUAACUCUGGAACUGCCAUCAAAACUUUUUAGCUAGAGUAUGACAGAGGAAAGCAGAAUUUCUAGUGUAGAGGUGAAAUUCGUAGAUAUUAGAAAGAAUACCAAUUGCGAAGGCAGCUUUCUGGAUCAUUACUGACGCUGAGGAACGAAAGCAUGGGUAGCGAAGAGGAUUAGAUACCCUCGUAGUCCAUGCCGUAAACGAUGUGUGUUAGACGUUGGAAAUUUAUUUUCAGUGUCGCAGCGAAAGCGUUAAACACACCGCCUGGGGAGUACGACCGCAAGGUUAAAACUCAAAUGAAUUGACGGGGACCCGCACAAGUAGUGGAGCAUGUGGUUUAAUUCGAAGAUACGCGCAGAACCUUACCAACACUUGACAUGUUCGUCGCGACUCUAAGAGAUUAGAGUUUUCGGUUCGGCCGGACGAAACACAGGUGCUGCAUGGCUGUCGUCAGCUCGUGUCGUGAGAUGUUGGGUUAAGUCCCGCAACGAGCGCAACCCUCACUUUUAGUUGCCAUCAUUUAGUUGGGCACUCUGAAAGAACUGCCAGUGAU
rnacentral:rRNA from 1 species